CCUUGAGUGCUUAGAGGAACGGUCUUAACAGCGACACAGGAGCGUGCAGGCUUAGGAUCCGGAAGGACUUCAGUGUAGACUUUGUUAACAGCAGCAAAAUCAUCCAUAUCAGCUAAGAAAAUGUUGACCUUAACGAUUUUAUUCAAGCUACUACCAGCUUCUGUCAAUACCUCUUGAAGAUUCAACAAGCACUGGCGAGUUUGAUCACCAACAGUGCCCUCAAUGACUUUGCCAUUAGCGACAGGGAUUUGGCCAGAGCAAUAGAUUACACCAUUAGCCUUAAUAGCUUGGUUGUAAGGACCAGCACUGGAAAGUUUGGGACUGUUGAUUGGGGUUUUGGUGCUCAUUUUAUGGAUGAAAAACCGGGGAACAGGACGUAAAGACUGUUGGAAAGAACGAUAAGCAGCAGGACGAGAAGCAACCAAAAGUCUACUUCCUAAA